ACAGGUUAUGCUGUGAGAUGCAGAAAAGGGAUUCUGGUUACUUUGGGGGCAGAUUCUGCAAUAAAAGCGCAGAUACUGGCAAGGGCUCCACCACCCAGGGAGGAAUUCAUGAUAAUGGCAUAAAGCAUGGCAAAAAAGAAGGGAGAAGUAGAAGUAUGUCUAAGGAUAAAAGUGCCACUUUGAUCAAAACUAUUAAAAAUAGGUAGGAAUGCUGAAUAAAUAUGAACUUCAGACCCUGAAUUCUCAUUUUGGGCGUAAUAGACUUGAAAUGGCCGCUGAAAUUAUACUAUCAAUGAAAUGAAAUUAGUCAUAUUAAAGGUCGUAAUCAUUUAAUCAUAUUAAAUAUACCAAUAUA
rnacentral:lncRNA from 1 species